GACGAACGCUGGCGGCGUGCCUAAUACAUGCAAGUCGAACGCUGAAGGAGGAGCUUGCUUCUCUGGAUGAGUUGCGAACGGGUGAGUAACGCGUAGGUAACCUGCCUGGUAGCGGGGGAUAACUAUUGGAAACGAUAGCUAAUACCGCAUAAUAGUAGAUGUUGCAUGACAUUUGCUUAAAAGGUGCAAUUGCAUCACUACCAGAUGGACCUGCGUUGUAUUAGCUAGUUGGUGGGGUAACGGCUCACCAAGGCGACGAUACAUAGCCGACCUGAGAGGGUGAUCGGCCACACUGGGACUGAGACACGGCCCAGACUCCUACGGGAGGCAGCAGUAGGGAAUCUUCGGCAAUGGACGGAAGUCUGACCGAGCAACGCCGCGUGAGUGAAGAAGGUUUUCGGAUCGUAAAGCUCGGUUGUAAGAGAAGAACGAGUGUGAGAGUGGAAAGUUCACACUGUGACGGUAUCUGACCAGAAAGGGACGGCUAACUACGUG
rnacentral:rRNA from 1 species